CGGUGGCUUUUGCCACCAACAAUUCCUCCGUUUUUGUCUUAUAUACUGCCAUCCAUUCGUAACCCUAAUCAAAUCGUUUCAUCGGUUCAUCCAAUUUUUCUCCACAUCACCACAUGAACGAUGAACGCUGAACAGGUCCACCACUGCCACGAACCGCCCGCACCCUUUACAGCUUCACCACCACAAUGGUCGAGGAUGGUCUUCUGUAGUGGUGAGAAAUCGGCGACUACAUCAACCUGAAAGGCGUCGGCAACUUCCACCAGCAAAUCCAACCGAUCACAUAAGAUGGGGGUUUUGUUUGUAUAUUUUAGUUAAAAUCGAAUUAGGGUUUUGUUCGUAUCAAAAUGAUGACUUUCGUAAGCAGAAGAGGGGGUGAUUCUCCAAAUUGCGUGUUUUUUCUCCCUUCCUUGACUUGAUUCGAAGUCAAAGAGAGGCUUUUGAAGAUUCAAUUGGAAGAUACCAGGUUUUUUUAUAGUUGUCCUUGCACAUGUAAUCUUUUCUCCACAUGUGAUAUAUACGCUAAACUACAACUUUGUGCUACCGUACCAAGGGGGUAUUAUAGUACCGUUUGUUGCUACCGACCAGAUCAUUGUCAGAAUCCUCAGUCGAUAAGAUCCGCAAAUAGACUGUUGAAAGGUAAUAACUAACGCAUUUGACUUUUCUUUGUGUUUAGUGUCCACCUUUCUAUAAU